rnacentral:tRNA from 3 species
ACCUGGAUGACGAAAAUGGUAAACGUACUGAACUCAAAAUUCAGGGAUUAUUAUAAUCUUGUGGGUUCAAAUCCCACUCCAGGUA